rnacentral:rRNA from 1 species
UACGGAGGGUGCGAGCGUUGUCCGGAAUCAUUGGGCGUAAAGGGCGCGUAGGUGGCCUGCUAAGCGUGCGGUGAAAGCUCGGGGCUCAACCCCGAGUCGGCCGUGCGAACUGGUGGGCUUGAGCACUGUAGAGGCAGGCGGAAUUCCGGGUGUAGCGGUGGAAUGCGUAGAGAUCCGGAAGAACACCGGUGGCGAAGGCGGCCGUGCUGGGCAGUGAGCUGACACUGAGGCGCGACAGCGUGGGGAGCAAAAGGG